GCCGAUGUAGCUCAUUUGGUAGAGCGCGUCCUUGGUAAGGACGAGGUGACGGGUUCAAAUCCCGUCAUUGGCU
rnacentral:tRNA from 1 species